rnacentral:rRNA from 1 species
CCCUUAGAUGUUCUGGGCUGCACGCGUGCUACAAUGGCGUUUCCAGCAAGUCUGCGUACCCGAGAGGGCCAGCGGAUCUUCGAAUUGGCGUCGUGAUCGGGACAGUCGAUUGCAAUUAUUUGACUCAAACGAGGAAUUCCUUGUAAUCGCGAUUCAUCAUAUCGCGCUGAAUACGUCCCUGCCCUUUGUACACACCGCCCGUCGCUCCUACCGAUUGAGCGAUCCGGUAAAUGUUUUGGAUUGGUGCCGGGGCGGCUAGCUGCCGGUCGCUACGAAAUUUUGUGAACCUUAUCGCUUAGAGGAAGGAAAAGUCGUAACA